UAAGUAAAUGCAAAGAUUUGGAGAGAACCAAAAAAAAAAGAUGUCAACAAUGAAAAUGAAACAAACCAAUCAGUGGAUCGAAUUAAAAGUUUUGGUAAAAGAAAACAGUUGCAUAUACAUGCUAACAAGAAAGGACUUACAUGAAGAAGUGUUGUACAACUAUGAGAAUGGAAGGAGGAUUUGGUGUUUAAUUGAGGAAAUGGAUAAAAAAUUGGUAUGUGUCAAGCAACUAUAGCCAACUGAUAGAAGGGUAAAUUAGAAAGUUCAGAUUACAUUAUGCCAACAGAGAUGAUAACAAUGCCAACCAAGCUAAAAGUUGUCCAGGAAAACUUUUGUAUUGGAGACAAGACAAGUUAAUGACUUAAUGAUAGACUCACUGCAGAGAGAGAUGUUGGAAAAGUGGAUUUUGUUAACAAAAGGAAGAUAAGAUCAAGGCUGCCAACCUUUGAGAGAUACACUUCAAAAAGAGUGUUUAAAUUCAAGACAUUCAGUCACAGUACUCUGUAAAUAUUAUAAAGUAAAAGUUAUUUAUUUAAUUUGGAAAAGCAUUUGAGAAACAGAGGAUGUGAAAAAGACUUUGUCCAUUUCAAGCUAUCUGUUGUCAAGUACCAGGAAUAUGUGGAUUUUAUUCAACAACUUUAUUAUGAAUUUGAAUAGCAACUUUCAAUG